rnacentral:rRNA from 1 species
AUGGCCACCGCUGAUGUCCAGAACCCGACGGCCGCGCUGACGGAGGAGGCGCCCACGGUGGAGACGCCCGUCGCCGCCGAGGAGGUCGCGAAGACGGAGGAGGCCCCCGCGCCGGCCGAGGCCGAGGUCAAGGCGCCUGCUGCCCCCGUCGAGGUCGAGGAGACCAAGGAGGUGGCACCUGCCGCCGCUGAGACGGAGGAGGCCAAGGAGCCCGAGCCAGCAGCUGCGGCCGAGCCGGAGGCCGAGGCCCCCAAAGAGACAGAGGCGCCAGCCGUGGUCGAGACAGAGACCAAGGAGGCCGUGGCUGAGGCAGAGCCAGCGCGGCCGUGUGCUCCUACGUGGCACGGCGUGAUGCUGAGUCAGCCAGUGGAGUGGAGUGGAAUGAUACUUUUUACUAGGUGUGGAGUGGGAGUGCUAUGCGCGGGGUCGCGUGACGUGGGCUAA